rnacentral:rRNA from 1 species
AUUGAACGCUGGCGGCAUGCUUUACACAUGCAAGUCGGACGAGUGGCGAACGGGUGAGUAAUGUAUGGGAACGUGCCUGGUAAUGGGGGAUAACCACUGGAAACAGUGGCUAAUACCGCAUACCAUCCGAGCGGCCAAUAUCUGAUUAGCUAGUUGGUGGGGUAAAGGCUUACCAAGGCGACGAUCACUAGCGGGUCUGAGAGGAUGAUCCGCCACACUGGGACUGAGACACGGUCCAGACUCCUACGGGAGGCAGCAGUGGGGAAUAUUGCACAAUGGGCGCAAGCCUGAUGCAGCCAUGCCGCGUGUAUGAAGAAGGCCUUCGGGUUGUAAAGGACUUUCAUUAGGGAGGCGUUACCUACAGAAGAAGCACCGGCUAACUCCGUGCCAGCAGCCGCGGUAAUAC